rnacentral:rRNA from 1 species
GAUGAACGCUGGCGGCGUGCCUAAUACAUGCAAGUCGAGCGAACGGACGAGAAGCUUGCUUCUCUGAUGUUAGCGGCGGACGGGUGAGUAACACGUGGAUAACCUACCUAUAAGACUGGGAUAACUUCGGGAAACCGUAGCUAAUACCGGAUAAUAUUUUGAACCGCAUGGUUCAAAAGUGAAAGACGGUCUUGCUGUCACUUAUAGAUGGAUCCGCGCUGCAUUAGCUAGUUGGUAAGGUAACGGCUUACCAAGGCAACGAUGCAUAGCCGACCUGAGAGGGUAAUCGGCCACACUGGAACUGAGACACGGUCAAGACUCCUACGGGAGGCAGCAGUAGGGAAUCUUCCGCAAUGGGCGAAAGCCUGACGGAGCAACGCCGCGUGAGUGAUGAAGGUCUUCGGAUCGUAAAACUCUGUUAUUAGGGAAGAACAUAUGUGUAAGUAACUGUGCACAUCUUGACGGUACCUAAUCAGAAAGCCACGGCUAACUACGUG